ensembl:lncRNA
UCUGCUCCCACCUGCAGGAACGUUUCAUUAGCCAAGAAGUAUGAAGAGGAGGAACCAACGAAGGACUCUGACCCUAAGCCCAGGUCUGGAGACCAGGACAGAAGAAGGAAAAGGACCAGAAGCAGGUCCAGGUCAAGAGGAAGAUCCAGAGGUUCCAAGAGCUCCAGAACCCGGUCAAGAUCCAGACAAAGAUCAGAGGGAAGCAAAAAGAGGAGCACAUCCAGAUCAAGAGACAGCAAAACGUCCAGAAGUCACGGUAGAACCAGGUCCAGGUCCAAAGAACGCUCAGAGGGAAGAAAAAGGAGCAGAACCAGGUCCGCAUCCAUAGAACAAUCCAGCAACUCCUCCAGACAGAACCAGAAUAAAGAGACCUCAAAAGAACCAGGUGAGGAGGUAGACCUGAAGAGCAGCGUCAGGAAGGUGGCCAAGCCCGGUUCUGGGUUGGAGGGUGGUUCUGGUGAUUGACAGGUUUGACAGCAGCUUUACCUUUAAUCCAGAACCAACUGAGGCAGAACAAAAACCCAAAUAAUGGGAUUGUCAGUGCUGCCCGUGGUCUCAUGAUCAUGGAGAAACAUCCGCUGGAAAACACAUUGAUCUCACUCUUCCACCGUAUUCUGCUCCUCAUCCUCCUCUUUGCUCAGAGCCUCCUCUCAGAGUGGAGCUCCAGACGGUCACAGGUAACAUCCCACACCAAGAAGCUGCUGGUGACGAUGAGGAGGACAGGUGAGGCCUUCAAGCGGCGCUUUGGUUUGAACCAGAGCUACUGAGAAAUGCUGAGAAUGUUUGUGAUGCCUCCAGCAUGUCCACCGACGGGAGUGACAAGGGGAUGGAGGUGAUCGCAGAGGACGGGAGGAUGAUCAAGGAUAAGGAUGAAGAAAGCCUGAAAGAGGAAAGUGCUGAGGAGAACAGGACCUCUGAAGAGAUGCCAGCCUCAUCUGAGAGAGAAGAGGAGAAGAAAAUGGACACUGAGGAUGAGGAGAAGACUUCAGCGGGAGCAGAGGAGAUGGACGUGAAGGAUGCAGGCGCCGAAGAUCAGGAGCAGCUCAUGACUGAGGAGAAAGAGGGAGAGGAGGAGAGGCUGAGGGAGAUAAAGGAGGAGGAGACGGAGGAAGCUGGUUUCCCCCUGAACCUGGAGGACUGCAUCACUCUGGAUGAAGUUCACUCAGAUGAUGAAGGUGAAGGUGACGGAGGUGAAGCGUCUCAGCUGGAGGCCAGCAGGGUGGUGUCCUUCAGCGCCGUACCGCAGGGCUGCACCCACGCAGAGCUCAUCAAAGUCAUGAGAGGCUUUGGGACGGUGGUUCGAUACCUGUUGAUCCGGGACCAGCAGCAGGCCUUCGUGGAAAUGUCGAGUCCCUCCGAGGCUCAAACUGCUGCAGAGGAGCUGAACUCCAACUGCAUCAGCAUCAACGGCUGCCGGCUGAUCGGCUCUGUGUCACGGGAAAAUACCAGACUCACCGACGGGUGGGACGUUAAAGGUGACGAAGAUGAGGAGAGGAGGAGUGAGCAAAGUGACAGGAGAACCUCCGAACCAGAGGAGAAGCCAUCUGAGGAGGUUCGUGAGAAAGACGCAUCAGAGACGGAGGUUCAGGAAGGAGAGGAGACGCCAGAGACGAGUCAAGAGACUCCUUCAGACAAGACGGGAGAAAAUAAAACUGAGGGAAAAGAGAGCAGAGAGACUCCAGCAAAGAAAACGGUUCCCGAAGACAAGAAUCCACCUGAAGAUCAGGAUCUCCAACAGCAAAGAGACGCCGAGAAGCUGAGCGACUCCCAUGAACCUGAAGUGAGGGAUCCAGAGAGAGCGGAUCAUCCAGAAACCGCUGAACAGAAUGCUGUGGCGGCGCCACCUUUUGCACCUGCAGGGGGCGCCACUGAAGCAGAACGACUCUCCAAGGCCGUUGGAGCUGAGUUUGUGCGUCCAGUUGUGGGUUAUUACUGCAAUCUGUGUCAGCUGAUCUUCUCUGACGAGGACGAAGCAAAGGGGGACCACUGCCGCACGCCGGCCCACUAUGCCAAAUACCAGGAGAAGACUGGGAAAGAUCCGUGGACCAGCUGA